CGGAUGUAGCCAAGUGGAUCAAGGCAGUGGAUUGGGAACCC
rnacentral:tRNA from 1 species